CAUAAGACACCAAACUCAACAUCUCAACAUCAAUCAUCUCUGUCAGACGUGUUCAGGCCACACCCCCUGUUGCAGUUUAACAGAAACUGUGAGCCGAUUGGUCAUCGCUGCUAUGGUGGGCGUGACUGCUGUGACUGUAGUGGUUUAUGAACUGAGAUCAUAGACAUCAGAGGACACCAGAGGGCGAUAGUAAUAUCUGUUUAUGAACACCUAAAGUGGUUUUAUGUGAUGUGUAUUUUGUGACAUUUGUGAAUUUCAAAUAAAGUUAAAGGCAAAACUUAGAAACAUGUCUUGUUGUUUUAACACAUUGUUGAGGCAAAUAUAAACAUUUUCUGGGAUAAUUUACCCCAACCGCUGAGUUUGUCCCUUUUUGAAAAUAACUUAAUUAAUCAUUUUCAGAGUGAAUUUGUUUUUAUUUAUGAUUUCCAUUUUUAAAGCAUUUUUAACUUAAAAUGACAUUGUGGAAAAACAUAAACAGCAUCACCCAUCUAACCCAUGUUUGUAUAGAAAACAAAUAAUUAUAAACCGUGACCGAUUUGGUGUUUUAUUCAUUGAUACAUUUGGACUGGAUUUGUCUUGCACAAAAUAUCACAAACAUUCUUCUAGAUUUUUCUUGGUGAAUUUAAUGUAAAAAAGAAGUCUUUGUCUUAUUUUAAGUAGCAGAUUUAAAGUUUCCUUGUAUUGUAAUUUGUCUUGUAUGUUGUUUGAUGUCAGACUGGCAGCAUUUAUUUUCUAUUGCCUAUUUUUGUUUUGGUCUAUUAAAGAAAAGAGGCAACA